rnacentral:rRNA from 1 species
CCUACGGGGGGCAGCAGUGGGGAAUAUUGCACAAUGGGGGGAACCCUGAUGCAGCGACGCCGCGUGGGUGAAGGAGUAUUUCGGUAUGUAAAGCCCUAUCAGCAGGGAAGAAAAAUGACGGUACCUGACUAAGAAGCACCGGCUAAAUACGUGCUAGCAGCCUCGGGAAUACGUAGGGGGCAAGCGUUAUCCGGAUUUACUGGGUGUAAAGGGAGCGCAGGCGGCGUGUUAAGCUUGGAGUGAAAGCCCGCGGCCCACCCGCGGGACUGCUUUGGGAACUGGCGCGCUGGAGUGCGGGAGGGGUAAGCGGAAUUCCUAGUGUAGCGGUGAAAUGCGUAGAUAUUAGGAGGAACACCAGUGGCGAAGGCGGCCUACUGGACGGUGACUGACGCUGAGGCUCGAAAGCGUGGGGAGCAAACAGGAUUAGAUACCCCAGUAGUC